rnacentral:rRNA from 1 species
AUUGAACGCUGGCGGCAGGCUUAACACAUGCAAGUCGAGCGGGGGAAGGUAGCUUGCUACCGGACCUAGCGGCGGACGGGUGAGUAAUGCUUAGGAAUCUGCCUAUUAGUGGGGGACAACGUCUCGAAAGGGAUGCUAAUACCGCAUACGUCCUACGGGAGAAAGCAGGGGAUCUUCGGACCUGGCGCUAAUAGAUGAGCCUAAGUCGGAUUAGCUAGUUGGUGGGGUAAAGGCCUACCAAGGCGACGAUCUGUAGCGGGUCUGAGAGGAUGGUCCGCCACACUGGGACUGAGACACGGCCCAGACUCCUACGGGAGGCAGCAGUGGGGAAUAUUGGACAAUGGGGGGAACCCUGAUCCAGCCAUGCCGCGUGUGUGAAGAAGGCCUUAUGGUUGUAAAGCACUUUAAGCGAGGAGGAGGCUACUCUAGUUAAUACCUAGGGAUAGUGGACGUUACUCGCAGAAUAAGCACCGGCUAACUCUGUGCCAGCCGCCGCCGUAA